AACUCGCCUGAAACAAAGGUUCGUGUUUUAAACAUGUAAAGUGUUUAAAUUAAAUCGAAUGAAUGCACUAAUGAGCUAGUAUGCCAACCGCCAAUAAACAGAAGAAGAAGAAGAAGAAGACGAAGAUGAAAUGAACUGUUCAUGCAAAUGUAUAGUUUUACUACGAAUCGCAGAACGAAAACUUUCCUAUUGGAUGAAACCAUGUGAUGCAACGAGAAGACAACGAUGUGAAGCGACUGAGAUCCACGUGACACACUAUUAUAAAGAUGGCGUUUAUUAAAGAGGAGAGUUUAGACAUUAGGAUUGCAGAAGUAUUCAGCAUCAAACAUGAAGAUACUGAGGAACAAACAGAUAUGAUGGCACUGAAAGUGGAGAGUCAAGAACUAAAUGAAAUGGAAGAGAAAGAUCAGUAUGGAAAACAUGAUUUCACAAAUGGAGAAAAAUAUUUUAGUUGCUCACAGACUGAAAAGACUUCCUCACAAAACGUUGCUCAAAAGACUGGAACUAGAAGUUAUUUCACCUGCCAACAGUUUGGAAAAGGUUUCAACAGUAAAACAAAACUUACAAAGCACAUGAA